ensembl:snRNA U4 U4 spliceosomal RNA
AGCUUUGCACAGUAGCAGUAUCGUAGCAAAUGAGAUUUAUCCGAGGCACAAUUAUUGCUAGUUGAAAACUAUGUGUAGCCCUCACCCUCUCCCACUCUGUCUCCCUUGGCUCUCACCUGGUCACUGUGGUAGGGUAACACUUCAGUCCUGGA